UGAGGAAUAUUGGUCAAUGGGCGGAAGCCUGAACCAGCCAUGCCGCGUGAAGGACUAAGGCCCUACGGGUCGUAAACUUCUUUAGACGCAGAGCAAUAAGGUCCACGCGUGGACCGAUGAGAGUAUGCGUAGAAUAAGCAUCGGCUAACUCCGUGCCAGCAGCCGCGGUAAUACGGGGGAUGCGAGCGUUAUCCGGAUUCAUUGGGUUUAAAGGGUGCGCAGGCGGCUCGUCAAGUCAGCGGUGAAAGCCCGGGGCUCAACCCCGGUAAGCCGUUGAAACUGGCAAGCUGGAGUUCGGGCGAGGCAGGCGGAAUGCGCGGUGUAGCGGUGAAUGCAUAGAUAUUGCGCAGAGCUCCGAUUGCGAAGGCAGCUUGCCAGCCCUGGACUGACGCUGAGGCACGAAAGCGUGGGUAUCGAACAGGAUUAGAUACCCUGGUAGU
rnacentral:rRNA from 1 species